rnacentral:rRNA from 1 species
GACGAACGCUGGCGGCGUGCUUAACACAUGCAAGUCGAACGGAAAGGCCUUUUCGGAGGUACUCGAGUGGCGAACGGGUGAGUAACACGUGGGUGAUCUGCCCUGCACUCUGGGAUAAGCCUGGGAAACUGGGUCUAAUACCGGAUAGGACCGCACUUUAGUGUGUGUGGUGGAAAGUGUUUUUGGUGUAGGGUGAGCCCGCGGCCUAUCAGCUUGUUGGUGGGGGAAUGGCCUACCAAGGCGGCGACGGGUAGCCGGACUGAGAGGGUGGUCGGCCACAUUGGGACUGAGAGACGGCCCAGACUCCUACGGGAGGCAGCAGUGGGGAAUAUUGCACAAUGGGCGCAAGCCUGAUGCAGCGACGCCGCGUGGGGGAUGACGGCCUUCGGGUUGUAAACUCCUUUCGCCAGGGACGAAGCGUUUUGUGACGGUACCUGGAGAAGAAGCACCGGCUAACUACGUG